rnacentral:lncRNA from 1 species
UUUAUUAUAAAUAAAAAAUCUGAUAAAGGACGGGUGGUGGAUUCCCGGUUGUAGCGGUCCUCUUCAGGAUAGAGUGGGUACUCUGUCACCCAACAGACUACUACAGAGGAGCUGAUAUCGUUUAAUCCUUGUCAGUAAAUUAAAAAAAAUCCCACCUCCUGUGGCUCCUUCCUAGAUUCAUCACACAUUAGCAAUGGAGUAUAGUUGUGCCAUUGAAUGACGGCAGUCUUCAAAGAUUUGGGUGAGACAAGUUUAUUUGGAGGGUGAUUUUCAAGACGAAACCACUUCUCUACUUCAUGAGCUGUCAUAUGCCCUACUUCAUGAGCUGUCAUAUGCCUUCAUGAAGUACAUGAAAGGGGCUUGAAAUUCUAGAAUGGUACAUGACCCGUGUUUGUUAUAUUCAUCUUCCCAGAGUUCCCCAUUCGUCUUCCCUGGUUCAUAAUUUAUCCAACAUCCAUCGAGCCGAUUUUGUACGCCUUGGCUCAACUGUUAAGAAGAAAAAUCGAUAUAUGAGAGAUGCAUCAUGGAAGAAGGGAACACAUGAAAAGAUAUAGAAGAGCAAAAUGAAAGAAGAUAAGAAACUACCUGUGAUGCAAUAAAAGGAAUAGAACUAGGUUGCGGACAAUAUACGAUAGGUUUAUACCCCUGUAUACCAAGAAUAGGGUGGGCCCGGUUCUAUAGGUGUUAUGUUCACGGGCCAGAAACCGAUGAGAGUGAAUCGUGUCUCAGAUAUAGAGGGGGGACCUUUGGAACUCGAUAUUCAAGUACUAGGGUCUGAUAGUAUGGUGUUCCCUGCCCACUUGCUAACUGAAAGAAAGACAGUACAAGGAAAAAUGAGAAGAUCGAUCUUAGCUACUUCCAUAUGUGUAAAUGGAGAUUAAACAACUAGAGACUGAAAGAUACGAAGAUCGAGAGGAAAGCACUUGAUCCAUAGAAGUGGUCAAG